GCUAAAAUUUUAGAGUGUUUACCUACUGCACUUUAAUGCUUUUUCUGUUAGGAGUACUAUCAGCAGCACAGUCAUGCAAAUUCCGGGUGGUUAGAUGAAGUUUGAAAACUAUCUCUUUCUUUGAUAAAAUUGUACAUUCAUAGAGUUGAUUGAGUUUUCGCAAUUUUUUAGAGCAAAAAUAACGGAUAAGGGUUGACAUCAAAGCUUCUUUGCGUAUACAAUAAAUAAGUCGCUCCGAAAAGGGCGAAAGCAGUUUGAAAGUUCCAUAUAGUGCUUGCGAGAACCUUGUAUAAAGUAUUCUGAUCGAACAUUUAAAAAUGUCAUCGAAAAGUUUUGAUGGAGAGUUUGAUCAUGGCUCGAGGGUGAACGCUGGCGGCGUGCCUAAACNUGCAAGUCGAGCGAGUCUUCGGACUCAGCGG
rnacentral:rRNA from 1 species